GUGGUUUGUCGCGUUGUUCGUGAAAUCUCACGGCUUAACUGUGAGCGUGCGGGCGAUACGGGCAGACUUGAGUACUGCAGGGGAGACUGGAAUUCCUGGUGUAGCGGUGGAAUGCGCAGAUAUCAGGAGGAACACCGGUGGCGAAGGCGGGUCUCUGGGCAGUAACUGACGCUGAGGAGCGAAAGCGUGGGGAGCGAACAGGAUUAGAUACCCUGGUAGUCCACGCCGUAAACGGUGGGUACUAGGUGUGGGUUUCCUUCCUUGGGAUCCGUGCCGUAGCUAACGCAUUAAGUACCCCGCCUGGGGAGUACGGCCGCAAGGCUAAAACUCAAAGAAAUUGACGGGGGCCCGCACAAGCGGCGGAGCAUGUGGAUUAAUUCGAUGCAACGCGAAGAACCUUACCUGGGUUUGACAUGCACAGGACGCCGGCAGAGAUGUCGGUUCCCUUGUGGCCUGUGUGCAGGUGGUGCAUGGCUGUCGUCAGCUCGUGUCGUGAGAUGUUGGGUUAAGUCCCGCAACGAGCGCAACCCUUGUCUCAUGUUGCCAGCGGGUAAUGCCGGGGACUCGUGAGAGACUGCCGGGGUCAACUCGGAGGAAGGUGGGGAUGACGUCAAGUCAUCAUGCCCCUUAUGUCCAGGGCUUCACACAUGCUACAAUGGCCGGUACAAAGGGCUGCGAUGCCGCGAGGUUAAGCGAAUCCUUUUAAAGCCGGUCUCAGUUCGGAUCGGGGUCUGCAACUCGACCCCGUGAAGUCGGAGUCGCUAGUAAUCGCAGAU
rnacentral:rRNA from 1 species